AGUCUGAGACAAGAAAGUGUGCGUCAAGCUACCUCUGGUUUCGUUCCACUCCUGUUCUCCUUGGUGUGGCGUGGUGGCCAGUCCCUCAGAACCUUCCAGGUGUACACCCUGGUGAAGGUUUUCAUGUGCAGACCAAGACCCCAACGUCCCAGAAGGCUCCCUGGUGUCCCGUCCCUGUCACUUCCGACUUGAGGCGACCACUGAUCCAUGCUCAUCACCGUCGAUCAGCUUAACUUCCUGUAACUGGAAGCGUACAACAGGACGUUAAUGUCACGUCCCACGAGGACAGAGGCUCCGAGACAGAGACUCGACCUCAGUUUGUGGAGCGACUGCCCGGGCAGCGGCCUCGCCGGCCCCUCCCAGCGGCCCCAGCCCGCCCGCCCCGCCCCCCGCUUACCUGUCCUUGUACUUGAUCACAGCGUCCACGAUCUUCUUCAUCUUCUUGGUGAGGUUGGGCGGGUUGGGGGAGAGCUUCUCGGCAGGCGGCCGGCCACGCUUCUUCUGCUUCUUGCUCUCGUCAUCCUUGUCGCGGCUGCGGGUGCUGGUGGUCGGGGUGGAGGGGCCGGCAUCGCUGUCCCGCUUGCGCUUCCGCGACGAUUUCUUCUGCCGGACCUCCUCUUCGAUCUCCUCCAGCGUGCCCUCCUCGAUGGCCUUCAGGGUCAAUAGUGGUAAAAAUAGGACAGCCAGCACCGAGGUCGACAAGCAGAGGCUGCGGCGCAAACCCGGGGGCCUGGCUGGGGCGGGACACAUGCUGGGGCUCCGGACGGGCUCCGAGGGCACAGGGGCCGUGAGGGCCAGCUCUGUCUUCCCGAUGUCGGCCCACCCAAGCCCGUUCUUCGCAGAUAAACGGCGUAUGUUACACAUUUAAGUGUCACAGCCUCACUGUGCGAAGCCUGAAGAGUGGGCUCCUGUAAACCCUCCACCCAGAGGUGACCCCGUCAACACUUCUGCUCUAGACCACGUUUCCAUGUUUUUAAAAAACUGUGGUAAGAUACACAUAACAUAAAGUCAGCCGCUGCAAACGCUGUCAAGGGUGCAGUUCAGUGGCACUGGGAACGCUCCUGCUGUGCAGCCGUCCCCACCCUCCACCUGCAGGAUGUCCCACCUUCCCACGCACAUGUGCACAAGCGAGGCAGCGCUGGGAUCGAGCCACAUACCACAUCACGACUCAUCUUUUUGCUUACUAUGUCCUGGAUAUACUUCCUCUCGUUUUUCUGCAACAUAAUUUUUAAUGCUUAUUUAAUAGUAUUUCCUUGUA